CAAGGAUGUCAAGCCGCUGAUUGUGUUCGAGCAGAAGGGCGACGCUUGGACUUACACAUUUAAGACCCCCAAAUUCACCAAGACGCACUCUUUCUGCAUCGGCAAGGAGACAGAAAUUACUUCGGUGGACGGCAGGAAGUUCAAAGUAAGCACAGAACUCAUAUUUUACUGUUGUGUUUGGAGCGUCAUGUUGUGGCUUUUCUAGUGCGUUGUCAGGGAGGAGAACGGGAAGCUGAUUACAGAGGCUGACGAAUUCACCUCGGUACGAGAAAUCCAAGGGGAGGACAUGGUUGAGACGGUCACAACUGGUUCUGUGACUUACGUCAGCAGAAGCAAGCGAGUGUGACGUCAUCAAUCAUCAGCAUCUACCAGAAUAAAAAGGAAGAUGAUUAAACACGGAUCAUUAAACA